UAUUCGUGCCUCAAGCUAAGCGACGUUUCGAGCCCUUCCAGCCCUUUAUCAAGCUUGAUAAAGGGCUGGAAGGGCUCGAAACGUCGCUUAGCUUGAGGCACGAAUA
rnacentral:pre_miRNA from 21 species